UACGAAGGUGGCAAGCGUUAUCCGGAAUUAUUGGGCGUAAAGCGCGCGCAGGUGGUUUCUUAAGUCUGAUGUGAAAGCCCACGGCUCAACCGUGGAGGGUCAUUGGAAACUGGGAGACUUGAGUGCAGGAGAGGAAAGUGGAAUUCCAAGUGUAGCGGUGAAAUGCGUAGAGAUUUGGAGGAACACCAGUGGCGAAGGCGACUUUCUGGCCUGAAACUGACACUGAGGCUCGAAAGCGUGGGGAGCAAACAGG
rnacentral:rRNA from 1 species